CCCUUAGAUGUCCUGGGCCGCACGCGUGCUACACUGACGCCUACAGCGAGCACUUUCCAGCCCCGAGAGGCGGCUGGUAAUCAGCAAUAGGCGUCGUGAUGGGGAUAGAUCUUUGGAAUUAUGGAUCUUGAACGAGGAAUGCCUAGUAAGCGCAGGUCAUUAGCCUGCGCUGAUUAAGUCCCUGCCCUUUGUACACACCGCCCGCCGCUCCUACCGAUUUCGAGUGGUCCGGCGAAUCUUUCGGACUGCGCGCGGCCUUGAGUCGUGUCGCGGAAAGUCAGGUAAACCUUAUCACUUAGAGGAAGGAGAAGUCGUAACA
rnacentral:rRNA from 1 species